rnacentral:rRNA from 1 species
AGCUCGUAGGCGGUUUGUCGCGUCUGCUGUGAAAAUCCGAGGCUCAGACCGGACCUGCAGUGGGUACGGGCAAACUAGAGUGCGGUAGGGGAGAUUGGAAUUCCUGGUGUAGCGGUGGAAUGCGCAGAUAUCAGGAGGAACACCAAUGGCGAAGGCAGAUCUCUGGGCCGUAACUGACGCUGAGGAGCGAAAGCGUGGGGAGCGAACAGGAUUAGAUACCCUGGUAGUCCACGCCGUAAACGGUGGGAACUAGAUGUGGGGUCCGUUCCACGGAUUCCGUGUCGCAGCUAACGCAUUAAGUUCCCCGCCUGGGGAGUACGGCCGCAAGGCUAAAACUCAAAGGAAUUGACGGGGGCCCGCACAAGCGGCGGAGCAUGCGGAUUAAUUCGAUGCAACGCGAAUAACCUUACCAAGGCUUGACAUAUAGAGGAAAAGUGUAGAAAUACACUCCCCGCAAGGUCUCUAUACAGGUGGUGCAUGGUUGUCGUCAGCUCGUGUCGUGAGAUGUUGGGUUAAGUCCCGCAACGAGCGCAACCCUCGUCCUAUGUUGCCAGCACGUAAUGGUGGGAACUCAUGGGAUACUGCCGGGGGUCAACUCGGAGGAAGGUGGGGGAUGACGUCAAACCAUCAUGCCCCUUAUGUCUUG